rnacentral:misc_RNA from 1 species
GAAAUGCGAUAAGUAAUGUGGAUUGCAGAAUUCAGUGAAUCAUCGAAUCUUUGAACACACCUUGCGCUCCUUGGUAUUCCUUGGAGCAUGCCUGUUUGAGUAUCAUGAAAUCUUCAAAGUAAAUCUUUUGUUAACUCAAUUGGUUUCUACUUUGGUAUUGGAGGUCUUUGCAGCUUCACACCUGCUCCUCUUUGUUCAUUAGCUGGAUCUCAGUGUUAUGCUUGGUUCCACUCGGCGUGAUAAGUUAUCUAUCGCUGAGGACACUGUAAAAGGUGGCCAAGGUAAAUGCAGAUGAACCGCUUCUAAUAGUCCAUUGACUUGGACAAUACUUUUAUGAUCUGAUCUCAAAUCAGGUAGGACUACCCGCUGAACUUAAGC